rnacentral:rRNA from 1 species
CAGGCCUAACACAUGCAAGUCGAGCGGAGAUGAGGUGCUUGCACCUUAUCUUAGCGGCGGACGGGUGAGUAAUGCUUAGGAAUCUGCCUAUUAGUGGGGGACAACAUUUCGAAAGGAAUGCUAAUACCGCAUACGCCCUACGGGGGAAAGCAGGGGAUCUUCGGACCUUGCGCUAAUAGAUGAGCCUAAGUCGGAUUAGCUAGUUGGUGGGGUAAAGGCCUACCAAGGCGACGAUCUGUAGCGGGUCUGAGAGGAUGAUCCGCCACACUGGGACUGAGACACGGCCCAGACUCCUACGGGAGGCAGCAGUGGGGAAUAUUGGACAAUGGGGGGAACCCUGAUCCAGCCAUGCCGCGUGUGUGAAGAAGGCCUUUUGGUUGUAAAGCACUUUAAGCGAGGAGGAGGAGCUCUAGACUAAUACUCUAGAUGCUUGGACGUUACUCGCAGAAUAAGCACCGGCUAACUCUGUGCCAGCAGCCGCGGUAAUACAGAGGGUGCAAGCGUUAAUCGGAUUUACUGGGCGUAAAGCGUGCGUAGGUGGUCUUUUAAGUCGGAUGUGAAAUCCCUGAGCUUAACUUAGGAAUUGCAUUCGAUACUGGGAGACUAGAGUAUGGGAGAGGAUGGUAGAAUUCCAGGUGUAGCGGUGAAAUGCGUAGAGAUCUGGAGGAAUACCGAUGGCGAAGGCAGCCAUCUGGCCUAAUACUGACACUGAGGUACGAAAGCAUGGGGAGCAAACAGGAUUAGAUACCCUGGUAGUCCAUGCCGUAAACGAUGUCUACUAGCCGUUGGGGCCUUUGAGGCUUUAGUGGCGCAGCUAACGCGAUAAGUUGACCGCCUGGGGAGUACGGCCGCAAGGUUAAAACUCAAAUGAAUUGACGGGGGCCCGCACAAGCGGUGGAGUAUGUGGUUUAAUUCGACGCAACGCGAAAAACCUUACCCGGUCUUGACAUCCUGGGAACUCGCUAGAGAUAGCUUGGUGCCGCAAGGAGCCCAGAGACAGGUGCUGCAUGGCUGUCGUCAGCUCGUGUCGUGAGAUGUUGGGUUAAGUCCCGCAACGAGCGCAACCCUUGUCCUUAGUUGCCAGCAUUCAGUUGGGCACUCUAAGGAGACUGCCGGUGACAAACCGGAGGAAGGUGGGGACGACGUCAAAUCAUCAUGGCCCUUACGCCCAGGGCUACACACGUGCUACAAUGGACGGUACAAUGGGUCGCAACACUGCGAAGUGAAGCAAAUCUCAAAAAGCCGUUCUCAGUUCGGAUCGGAGUCUGCAACUCGACUCCGUGAAGCCGGAAUCGCUAGUAAUCGCGCAUCAGCAUGGCGCGGUGAAUACGUUCCCGGGCCUUGUACAC